GCUGCUUGGUGUUCCAUCCUCUUUUUCAAAAUCAAAAGUCAUGUAAGUUUAAGGAGGUACUUAAGCACUUGAGAAGUGGAGGAACUCUGAACAUAAGAGACAAACAAAAAAAUUAGGGUGCCAGGCCCGGUGGCUCACGCCUGUAAUCCCAGCACUUUGGGAGGCCGAGGUGGGACACUGCUUCCUCAAAUCCCUGUCCAGGGCCCUCUAUUUUCUCUCCUUCCCCCACUUAACCUGUAGUCCUGGAAAUCAGGUUGGUGUCCUCCCCCUUCUCAUGACCGUGGCCGGGCCAUCAGCACCCCAGCUCAGCGGCCACGUCAUAAGAACAACGCUCUUCAGUACAGUCACUCACUGUCCCAGGCCACUUCCCUCCAUUUCUUGAAGAUUUUUGAGGUCGUGGUCCAUUUCCAUUCUUUUCAACACUACUCCUCUCAUAACUGUUCAUGGUUUCAAUGAUGAUCCUUGUAACAACCUGGCAUCUGGAUUAUUUGACCUGUUUCCUCCCAGUGUUCUUGUC
rnacentral:lncRNA from 10 species